UACGUAGGGUGCGAGCGUUGUCCGGAAUUAUUGGGCGUAAAGGGCUCGUAGGCGGUCUGUCACGUCGGGAGUGAAAACUCAGGGCUUAACCCUGAGCCUGCUUCCGAUACGGGCUGACUAGAGGUAUGCAGGGGAGAGCGGAAUUCCUGGUGUAGCGGUGAAAUGCGCAGAUAUCAGGAGGAACACCGGUGGCGAAGGCGGUUCUCUGGGCAUUACCUGACGCUGAGGAGCGAAAGUGUGGGGAGCGAACAGG
rnacentral:rRNA from 1 species